rnacentral:piRNA from 1 species
UACCAGUAGUGAUGUUACUUAAAGUUAAGCCU